UGCUAAGUGUGGCGGCGUGGUUUGAGUGUCAGACUACAACUCUGGAGACCAGGGUUCAAUCCCUGCUUGGCUA
rnacentral:tRNA from 1 species